UACACACUCUCUCAGCUUCCUCCACAGAAACCCUGAGUAGCCUCUUGUCCUGAUACAACAAUUUGGAGUCAGGGCACUGAGUUCAAAAGUUGUCCAAAGAAGAUUCAACUUUGGAGAAAACUAUUUAAAUCAUGCUGGAAACAAACACCAGAGGGACUUGUGGAUACCAGAAGACCGCCAACCCUACUUUAAAAGGCUAAAGCAGAGUUGUCAAUGCCAGUGACGGAGAGCGUUCUGAGUGAGCAGCAAUCUUGAAGUAAUACGACUGAGUCGGAAAAAGUUUGCUUCAUCAUUCAAGCAACACGGAGGACAACUAGAGGCAUUCAGCAUCAAGAAGUAUGUUGCCAGGCCCAGAAAGCCAGGACACUGGAUCCAGCACUUAUGUAAACAUUUGCAUGAGUUUAAAGCUCUACAUGGGUUAGCAGAGAAUAAUUUAUCUGCGUAGGACAGCCAGGAGUUUAAGGGUCCAUCAGAUAAGGAAAUGACAAGGUCUACAACUAUGUUAUCCUCUGUGAAGAAUAUCCAGCAGAUAGAAGAUCUUCCAGUGGAGAAAUGGCCCAUGUGUCUGAAUUCAAGUCCAGCAGUCCCCAAGCAGAAGAUUCUUCCAAUUCAAAGAGAGCACAUGCACAGAAAAUCAUGAA